rnacentral:lncRNA from 1 species
CCAAACAGGAAAUUGAGCAACACGUUCAGGAAAGACAGAGCAUGGCUGCUGGGCAGCCAGGUCAACCGGACGGCAAGGCAGGGGUUGGCCGGGGAAGCACUGCGCCGCCCCUGCAUGCCCUGCAUCCUCGGGUCCUGGGAGGGCUGCUCAGUAACUGGAAGGAAAAUGAAACUGAAAAAGAGCAAGGGUCCCGUAGGAUUGAACACAGUUGGUGAAACUUGGGCCGUCUGCCUCAAGUCCCCGCUUGGCAAAACCACUCCCUCCUGGUGGACGCCCUCACCAUGAAGAGUUAUAGUAAGGUGUUGGUGAGGCUGGCUGCUCUGGUUGCUAAGAGAGACCCGGCCUGCCACACUCCUAAGAGACACAGAAGACCAGCCUACCCUUCCCUUGCCUCCCGUGACACUGCCCUGCAGGUGGCUGGCCAAGAGAAGCCUGCCCGGCGACGCUGAGGCACCGAACAUGAGCAGGGGAGGAAGGAAUGCCUGGGAGCAGCUGAGCCGAGCCCCUGCCACCAGCCUCCUCCGCACGCCCGUGGAAUCAGCACUUUCUGCUUCCCGCCCCUGAGAGCCUUGCUCUGGGGCCACUCACAGCCAAUUAAGUGGGGAUGUUGUAAGAGACUCUAAAAUACGUGGAGCUGGCUGAGGACGCGGGACCGACCCCAUUAUGUGUGUGUGAGGCUGAUUAAAGUGUUACCUGUCACCAGGUGUCGCCAA